rnacentral:rRNA from 1 species
UUUUAAAUUGAGAGUUUGAUCCUGGCUCAGGAUGAACGCUGGCGGCGUGCCUAAUACAUGCAAGUCGUACGCUAGCCGCUGAAUUGAUCCUUCGGGUGAAGUGAGGCAAUGACUAGAGUGGCGAACUGGUGAGUAACACGUAAGAAACCUGCCCUUUAGUGGGGGAUAACAUUUGGAAACAGAUGCUAAUACCG